CCAAGUUAGAGUUAUACUCUGAAGAUCAUCAUUUACAAAAAAUUACUUGGCACCAUGAAGGGUCAAUUAACUCAUUCAAGAUUAAACCAAGAAUGAAGGGUACCAUCUCCUAACUCCUUGGUUCAACUGGGAUGAAGGUAUUGCCUCCAGGGGUUAAUAUAUAGCCAGUGUCUAAAAUGUUCCUGUCGUUUUAUUUUCAUGGAGGAUGGAUUUUUGAAAAUUAAGUCCACUGAGCAAAGCUGGAAGUAUACAAAGCUUCCAGCACUGCCCAUGAUGUCAACACAGAGCGAGGGAUGAGCAUAAGAAAGAAGAAGGAAAGGAAAGGAAGAAAGAAAGUCUGUGAAUGGCCCCACUUACCAGGCCUAUGAAGAUGCAGAAAAGCUGAACUACAUCCGUGUAGGCCACGGAGUACAGACCACCCACCAGCGUGUACAGAGUGGCAAUGAGCGCAGAAACAAUGACAGAAGCUUGCACAUCAACGUCAAUGAUCACGCUGAUGGUGGCUCCUGAAGAAAGCAGACAAGAGAAUGCUAUGGUCAAGGUACUCAAAUGGAUUCCACUUUCUGUUCAAGGAUACACUGAAUGUUCAGUACCAGCAGGUAGUGCCUCUGUGUCAUGUGAAAUGUAUUGGAUGAUAACAGCCAAAGUGAAUUGUCAUAUCAAAAUCUUAAAAUCUAUAAUAUAUUCUUCCUUCCUGAAA